UACGUAGGGGGCAAGCGCUGUCCGGAGUUACUGGGCGUAAAGCGCACGCAGGCGGUCUCUUAAGUUUGGAGUGACAGUUGGUGGCUUAACUGCCAAAGUGCUUCGAAAACUGAGAGACUUGAGGGCUUCAGAGGGACACGGAAUUCCGGGUGGAGUGGUGAAAUGCGGUAGGAGAUCCGGAGGAACACCAAAGGCGAAGGCAGUGUCCUGGGGAGUACCUGACGCUCAGGUGCGAAGCCGGGAGGCGAACGGG
rnacentral:rRNA from 1 species